rnacentral:rRNA from 1 species
UACGUAGGGUCCGAGCGUUGUCCGGAAUUAUUGGGCGUAAAGGGCUCGUAGGCGGUUUGUCGCGUCGGGCGUGAAAACUCAGGGCUCAACCCUGAGCGUGCUUCCGAUACGGGCAGACUAGAGGUAUCCAGGGGAGAACGGAAUUCCUGGUGUAGCGGUGGAAUGCGCAGAUAUCAGGAGGAACACCGGUGGCGAAGGCGGUUCUCUGGGCAUUACCUGACGCUGAGGAGCGAAAGCAUGGGGAGCGAACAGG